rnacentral:lncRNA from 1 species
AACAUGUGGUUGCAACCCCCUCUUUAAUUGCCUGUUCGAUUUUUUGUUUGCAGUGUUGAAAAGGGAGUAAGACAGCAGUUUUAUCAAGAAGUUAUGUGAAAGUUCUGCUAUACAUCUGACAGCCAGGAAUUAUUCUGAAGUACACAUGUCGACCAGAGACAUGGAACAGAGAGGAGAGGUUUUAAAGUACCAGAUGCUUAUCUGAGAUUCCAAUUUGAACUAAAGAAAGCAAUAUAUAAAGAUAUGUAGGAGAAAUAAUCUAUAUGAAUAAAGUUAUGCCACAAAAGGAACUUGUUUUUCAGGGCCGUAACUAGGGUUCGAAUUCAGGGGAGGCAGGGGUUUGGGGCCGCCGAUUGAGCCCCCGCUGAUUUUUUCUCGGUAAAAUGGCUAAAAAUAAGUAAUUCCUUGAUUUCCUUACUUUUAGAAACAUCAGUAUUGCUUGAACCUGGAAGCAAUUUUUAUGCAAAAACAAGCUGUCUGAGCCUGAGAUUGCUGUUCGGGGUGAGUCAAGGCUCCGUUUUGAUUGCCGUACUUUGAGUGACCUAUAAUUAUUAACAUUAACUACAUUGUGACGGCCGAUUUUUUCUCUCUCAGUAAAAUGUCUAAAAAUAACCCGUUUCCUUCGAUUUCCUUACUUUAAGAAACACAGUAUUGCUGGAUCCUGAAGCAAUUUUUUGCAAACAAUUAUUAUUUGUAUUAAAGAUAAGUUUGUUAGAAAUCAAACUGGUAAGUUUUAAAAAAACAUAUAAAGCAAGAUCAAGGAACGCAAGAUAUUUUUGUUUUAUCGAGGACCUUGAAUUUCAUAUUGUUUGUAAGCUGAACAGACAUGUAUAUUACAACCAGGGACUUUCAGAGUAUAUACUUGUAUAAAAAGUCCAUGCUACAACGAAGAGUGUUUACUAAGGCAUUGACCAUAAUGUUCUCGUACGAUCGGGAGACGUGAAAAAAACGAUUCAACAGCUGAUUCAGCCGGUAACGAAUUUCCGAUAUCAUUAAAGAUUCACAAUACGAAGGGAACUUCCUCUACUUAAUUGAGUCCCUAAAUGAAUGUGAAUAGUUAAGUUUUAUUCAAAAUUGUCGAAAGCAAAGUUUCAUAUGUGUUCUCGUACGAAUAUAUACUGAAUAACAGACAGACGGCCACACGAAAAAAUAAAUAAAACUACUGAAACGGUUAACUUUCGAUCAAAAAUCCGGAAAAUGACAGAUAUAUCACGUAUCAUGAUAACACUGUUAAAUAAAGUUAUGCCACAAAAGGAACUUGUUUUUUUAUAUACAGAAUUUG